AUUGAACGCUGGCGGCAGGCCUAACACAUGCAAGUCGAACGGUAACAGGAAACAGCUUGCUGUUUCGCUGACGAGUGGCGGACGGGUGAGUAAUGUCUGGGAAACUGCCUGAUGGAGGGGGAUAACUACUGGAAACGGUAGCUAAUACCGCAUAACGUCGCAAGACCAAAGAGGGGGACCUUCGGGCCUCUUGCCAUCGGAUGUGCCCAGAUGGGAUUAGCUAGUAGGUGGGGUAACGGCUCACCUAGGCGACGAUCCCUAGCUGGUCUGAGAGGAUGACCAGCCACACUGGAACUGAGACACGGUCCAGACUCCUACGGGAGGCAGCAGUGGGGAAUAUUGCACAAUGGGCGCAAGCCUGAUGCAGCCAUGCCGCGUGUAUGAAGAAGGCCUUCGGGUUGUAAAGUACUUUCGGCGGGGAGGAAGGGAGUAAAGUUAAUACCUUUGCUCAUUGACGUUACCCGCAGAAGAAGCACCGGCUAACUCCGUG
rnacentral:rRNA from 1 species